CCUAGCACAGCUCACACAGGGAAAUACAGACCUUUGAUGAAGAACUCUGUUUUGUUACAGGUUCAUCACAUGAUCAUCAAGACAAGUUAGAAUUCCAGCACAUCAGCCAGUCCUCAUAGAGAAGAAAUUCGUAUGAACAAUGUAUCUGGGAGUUACUCGAGGUGGGUAUAAUAGUUUCUAGAAUCUACUUUUUUAAAAGGACUAUUCCAGAGCCCUUUUAUGGGUACUAACUUUGAGAAUCACAAUUAUUUUGGUUGUAAUUAAGUUUAGUUUUCUAGAUCAAGUGAUUCAGUCAGAACCACAUGGUACUUACAUCACCUCAGCCUAUUGUCUUCUUGUUAAGCAUUCUGAAAUAUUCCAUAGUUCUUGUAUACGUUCUCAACUUGGACUAUAUUCCACCACCAGAUUAGUUUAUCCAGAGGACCGUACUCCUUGACCUGCUCCAUACUCAAUUCUUAGGGUAGGGGCACUCUUCUAAAUGUUGAUAUUCUUCUGAGAGGGUUGGGCUGACACAAAGAUUGUAGUAGGUUGAUCUGCUUCUCAUGUGGAAGAUGAUGAAACCACAGCCAGGAGGAGAUGUUUGAUCUUCCAUUUGCAAAGGUUGCAUACACUGAGCUCUUUGGCUGUGACCACAUCCUCUAUUUUCAAAAUCAUCAGCAUCACACCAGCUGCUCUUUUAUGAAUGACUUUCUGUCUCCAUUGUAUAAAGACCUUGAGAUUACUUUGGACUUGUCUAAAUGAUCCGGGAUAAUCCUUCCUCAAGAUCCUUACUCUGUAGGAUUCCUUUAAUCCUCUGAAGUAAUAUUCAUGAGUUUGGGCACGGGGGCAUCUGUGAAGAGUUGUUUUAUGCUAUAAAGACCUUCAGGGCAAAGGACAAAGGUCUUUAGCUUCUGACCUAGCAGGAUUUCUUGUUUAAUGUCUCUUCAUAAUUUAACCUUAGCUUAUUCAUAUGGCUGUAAGUAUAUUGCACAUAACAAGGGAUAGAUUCACAGGUAAAAUAAGCAGACACCUGAAAUUAAAAGAAAAACAAAAAAACGAGAGUGGGCUCUUUAUUCAUUUUCAGUCCUCUGAAGAAAUGAAAAUUUAAGGCUUUCUUUUAACAAAACAAUGUUACUAAGUUUGUAUCCAUACAUUCUAGAAACAGUAGAAAAUGAAGAAUAAAUGAAUCCUUAUUCAGGAUUGUAAUUUGUUUUCUUGA
rnacentral:sRNA from 1 species